rnacentral:rRNA from 1 species
CCUACGGGGUGCAGCAGUGAGGAAUAUUGGUCAAUGGACGAGAGUCUGAACCAGCCAAGUAGCGUGAAGGAUGACUGCCCUAUGGGUUGUAAACUUCUUUUAUAUGGGAAUAAAAUGUUCCACGUGUGGGAUUUUGUAUGUACCAUAUGAAUAAGGAUCGGCUAACUCCGUGCCAGCAGCCGCGGUAAUACGGAGGAUCCGAGCGUUAUCCGGAUUUAUUGGGUUUAAAGGGAGAGUAGGUGGAUUGUUAAGUCAGUUGUGAAAGUUUGCGGCUCAACCGUAAAAUUGCAGUUGAAACUGGCAGUCUUGAGUACAGUAGAGGUGGGCGGAAUUCGUGGUGUAGCGGUGAAAUGCUUAGAUAUCACGAAGAACUCCGAUUGCGAAGGCAGCUCACUGGACUGCAACUGACGCUGAGGAGCGAAAGCGUGGGUAGCAAACAGGAUUAGAUACCCCUGUAGUC